rnacentral:tRNA from 1 species
CAUUGAGAAGCUAAGCAGCGUCAACCUUUUAAGUUGAAGAUAGGAGAAAUAAAUUCCUCCCUCAAUGA